AACCUCCGCAAUGUGAGAAAUCGCGACGGGGGGAUCCCAAGUGCCAUUCUUAACGGGAUGGCUUUUCAUUAGUGUAAAGAGCUUUUGGAAUAAGAGCUGGGCAAGACCGGUGCCAGCCGCCGCGGUAACACCGGCAGCUCUAGUGGUAACAAUUUUUAUUGGGCCUAAAGCGUCCGUAGCCGGUUUAAUAAGUCUCUGGUGAAAUCCUGCAGCUUAACUGUGGGAAUUGCUGGAGAUACUAUUAGACUUGAGACCGGGAGAGGUUAGAGGUACUCCCAGGGUAGAGGUGAAAUUCUGUAAUCCUGGGAGGACCGCCUGUUGCGAAGGCGUCUAACUGGAACGGUUCUGACGGUGAGGGACGAAAGUUAGGGGCGCGAAACCGGAUUAGAUACCCGGGUAGUCCUAACUGUAAACGAUGCGGACUUGGUGUUGGGUGGCUUUGAGCUGCUUCAGUGCCGAAGGGAAGCUGUUAAGUCCGCCGCCUGGGAAGUACGGUCGCAAGACUGGAACUUAAAGGAAUU
rnacentral:rRNA from 1 species